GAUCAUUACCGAGUUUACAACUCCCAAACCCCUGUGAACAUACCACUUGUUGCCUCGGCGGAUCAGCCCGCUCCCGGUAAAACGGGACGGCCCGCCAGAGGACCCCUAAACUCUGUUUCUAUAUGUAACUUCUGAGUAAAACCAUAAAUAAAUCAAAACUUUCAACAACGGAUCUCUUGGUUCUGGCAUCGAUGAAGAACGCAGCAAAAUGCGAUAAGUAAUGUGAAUUGCAGAAUUCAGUGAAUCAUCGAAUCUUUGAACGCACAUUGCGCCUGCCAGUAUUCUGGCGGGCAUGCCUGUUCGAGCGUCAUUUCAACCCUCAAGCACAGCUUGGUGUUGGGACUCGCGUUAAUUCGCGUUCCCCAAAUUGAUUGGCGGUCACGUCGAGCUUCCAUAGCGUAGUAGUAAAACCCUCGUUACUGGUAAUCGUCGCGGCCACGCCGUUAAACCCCAACUUCUGAAUGUUGACCUCGGAUCAGGUAGGAAUACCCGCUGAACUUAUGCAUAUCAAUAGGCCGGGAGGAA
rnacentral:rRNA from 1 species